rfam:TPA: Bos taurus chromosome 18, whole genome shotgun sequence.
UCCCUGGAAGUCCAGUGGUUAGGACUUGGUUCUUUCACUGCCUUGGCCCAGGUUCAAUCCCUGAUCAGGGAA